AUUUUGAUUCACCACGGUAAUGCAAAUUUGACACAAACUGUGGGAUUUUUUUUCAAUUCUGCUGUACGGCCUACUUAGCAAUACAACGUUUGCAGGGACAACUAGUUGUUCAUAAACAUGGGCAUGGUAGUUGUUGCGUACACCCUACGCGAGAACUCACACAGUCCAACAACUCGUUAACCGCAGACCCGUAAUCGAUUACUUUGCCCGAAGAUGUAAAGGUUGCUGCGAUCGUUGACAGCUGAGUGGGAGCCUGUCAUAUCGAUACGAGACAAGAGGAGUGUAGAUGUCAUAGCAAUAGCAUGCGUGAUGUGCUCUGGAUUGAAUUUAUUGAAAUCGCUAAUAAUUGUGAAUUAAUAGUAAAUUUGAACUCGCUAUCCAUCAGUUAAUCCCAGUAAAUUUGUAGAAACUAGAAUAACGGAUAGGUGAGAUAUUCCAAUUCGUAUAAACCUUAAACACGAGUCACUAUUGUCUGAUUUUAGGUUAGCCUUGAUCGUAGAUUUGUACGGCCAAUACGUGUAUCUAAUAGUGCUGAUAACGCUUAAAACGCCAUUGAAUUGAAAUUGGAAGCACAUAAAUUGAAAUAGAUCCAAACCCGUAGAUAGCUACAGGAAUCUUACAAACGUAAGUAACAUAAAAUUUGUACAACUAAGCAAUACUUAUAAUUGAAUUAAUUACAGGAGAAUUUUAA
rnacentral:lncRNA from 1 species